rnacentral:lncRNA from 1 species
AGCACCCAGUGGAGAAGAAGGCAUAAGUUAUGUAAGUCACAGAGAACCUAUGUGAUAGAAUCCAGGAUCUGGCUCUGAGUUAGGUAGUGAAAGUGUAGGAAAACAACCCAACCUGGCCAACACAGUGAGUUUUGUUUGUUUUGGUUUGUUUGCUUGUUUGUUGUUAUCCAGACACAAGUCAUCUGGGAUGAGAAACCUCAAUUGAGAAAAUGCCUCCAUCAGGACUAAGGAGUUGUGGGUUCAUCUAAACUCAUUUGGCUGAUAGAAGAACAGUGGAGGUCCUGCACACAGCAAGCACCAGGCUCAGAGGCAAGGGGACUGCGGAGUUUUCAGGAACUAUGAAGAAGCUUUGGAGAGAAGAGAAAUGACAGGAGGAAUGUUUCAAGCUAGAAGAAGCUGCUACAUAACAGCAAAGACUCAGCAUGGGUGGAUGGACAAAGAAAAAACUGGUUCAUCUUGAGAGUUAACAACAACGAUGACGACGAUGACACCACCACCACCACCAACAACAACAACUCUAUGUGGGGCCAGAGAGCUAUGGGACUGAGAGGAGCAGCCGUGGAGCAAGAGUGGGGUGGAGGCAAUUCAAACCCCUGAAAUCUCAUCCUGAGAUCUGUAGAAGUAGGAAUACUGCCGCCUCUGCCCCAGGCCUGUAUGUACCUGUGCACGCAGUCCAGUGCCCCCCACCCUUACCUUACCAGAGGAGGUCAAGUAGCCAGUGGCCAAUUUAAACUUCCUUUCCCCUUAUAAGUCAUGUGCAGCAGCACCUGGAAUUCCUCCUUAUGCAAAUGAGGCAUCCCCAGCCAAUGAGGUACACUCACCCUGAUAGCCCGCCCCUCAAAGCUUUUUUCCUCCUUCCACAAUAAACUGAAUCAGUCUCUGAAGCUAA